UCGUCACUCAAGUCAUUCCUCGAAUCUCCGCUCGCUUGGUGAAGAACUUCUCUAAGUGUUUCUCUAACAUUAUAGGUUUGAGAAAUUGUAGUCCACGCACGAAUAUCAAAAUGUUGGUUAACAAGGGCAUGCUCAAAUAUAUGUCGGGCAAGAGUGGUCUUACCAAUCCCGCCCAUCCCUGUGAUUGGGAUGAUUUGGCGGUUACGGUUCCCUCCAGUAGCCAUCCAAGAGUUGAAGUUGCACGUCAUCAAACCCCACCAUCUUGUUUCCUUCACAUUGGAAGAGGAUGUCAAGGAGCCAGCAUGAGUCGAGGAGACCUUUCUCUGCAGCUGAGUUCAGCUGAUUCCAUGGCUUCCUUCUUAUCACAUUCAUUUCUUCAUCACUUGCUGUAGAUCUUGAUAGAAGUCUUGCAACUGAUUCCUCUCUAGAAUUCACUUCUUCAUCCCCUGAGCUGCUCUACAACAUAGCCUUGAAGAAAUAUCUGCAAGAAGGUAAAAAUUUGAGUUUGAGAUUCAUUUCUUCAAUCACUUGUUGUAGAUCUUGAUAGAAGUUGAUGAAACUGACUUCAUUGGGACUAGAUCUACCCAGUUCAAUCACGUUCACAAUAUAUGAUUCGAUAACAUCUUCAACCGCAUGAGCUGCAUCUACAAUACGCAUCUCCAGCGGAUCAGCUUCAUCUCCGUCAGCAACAGGGGACUUAUAACCUUCAAGAAAUUCCUGCAAAGAGGUAAAAUUGAGUGAGAGAUUCAACAUGUUGUUUGUCGAUACAAAUUGGAGGGGAAUGGUGGUGCUCGAUUGUAUCGAUGAUAUGCAUAAGAGAAACCAAGGCUGCAUAGGCCGCCAUGAUCAAUCUCAAUUGAAGGAAAAGCAAGUGUAUAUUUUUGCAGAGAAUUUGGGUCAAGAAUUUGAUAGAAUCUGAGUUAGGUUCAGCAAAGAAACAAUGUAUAAAGUAACAAUGGCUAUAUCUUCUCCAUUACUAUCAGAAACAAUAUGUGGUUAGCUUUCUUCUACUUUCCACAAUCACAUUAUUGCCAACAGCUAAGGUAAAGAUAGAUGUGUCGGUUGGCCCUACAGUUUACUAGUCAUUGAAGUCGCCUUUUAUAAAUAUUUUUUUGUAGAGGAAUGAAAUAUAUGUUUGGGCUUGGCUGAGUAAGAGUGUUGUUAUGCAUUCUUAAGUAAAAAGGAAAAGGAACGGUUGAGAUUAAUCAUAUGUCAUAUUGGGGCUGCAAAUCGUUCAUUAAAUUAUGUUUGGAUGCUUCCAUAUGAUUUGGAGCUCGGUUCGAACUCCAUGACUAUGACUACAAGUAAAUAUUAAUUUUGUUCAAGAAAAAAUUAUGAAUGCCACCUAUUUUAGUAAAAUGUAAAUUAAAUUGUUAGUAAGAUACAAGUUCCACACUUUCAAAUGUGAUUGGAAUUGUACGUAUUACUAAUAUUUAUGAGAAAGAGAAAAUCAACUCGAACGGUACGCUCGAUUAUACCUCAAAAAUCAUAAUGUUUGUAGAGCACAAAAUGUAAACAAGAAUGUGAAUCUACUCACACAAAUUCAACUGUUCAAAGCAUGACAAGAAUGCGUAUAAAACAUCCAAAUUUAGUAGUACGAGUUAACUUAGGGGUAGAGUGGUUAAUAUCUAAAGCCAAAUAUCUCACUUCUGAGUCUAUCCUCUCACUAUCUUAAAAUUUUUGUUCAUCAAUAAAAAAAAAUCCAAAUUUAUGAAGCGAUUUAUCUUUGAAAAAAGUAGGAGUUUACCAACCACUCUUGAUUAAAUAAACAUUACCAAUCAGUCAGAUAUUUGGUCACCUAGUAUUAGAAUUGGGCCCAUCAUCCUUCUAAAAGACCUACAUAAUAGGAGAGCAAUACUCCAAAUUAUAUAUUAGGCAGGUUAUACAAGUCGAUGUGGAGCAUAAAGAGAGGACCGACAUGAUUAUUACUAAGUCGAUGGGAGACAUGAUUACUACCAAAUCUCCAUGGGCAAACGAACCUCAGAUCUAUAAAUAAUCAAAGUCUCGAGGUUUUGAAGCUUUGAUAUCGUUGGAGGGACAAUGCUGGUGGGAAUGUUGGAAGCGAGGUAAGUUAGAUAGAUUAAAUCAAACACGUGACUCGGCUUCCAAUUGCAAUAAUCAUUCCUGCGUAUGAUUUUUCAUCUAUAGAACUAUUGCACACUAGUGUUGUAUUCUGUGCGAUGCACAGCAUGAAUAUCUUUUAGAAUUUUUCGAAUAUAAUAGAAUAAUUUAUAAAAUAAUUACCAAUAAGACUAGGGAGAGAGGGAGGGAAAGAAUAAUUGUUUAUACAUUUUAAUUAUUCAUACAUUUAGCAAAGACAAAUCCUGUUUUUAGUAUUUGGUUUUUAAUAUUUUUGUUUAAAGCAUAAUUCUAAGCACAAUCUGUCCCGGUUUGUUUCCAAGGUAAUUUCGAUGUAGAGAAGAAGUAUUGGUGUGAAAACAGAUUGGGCCGAGGGGCCCAAAGUCCUCUCAGCAAAAAAUAGGUCCAUCGUUCCAAUCCAGUAGACGUAUUCUUUAAAAUAUGCCCAAAUUUCUUCUACAAUAUAUUUGCAACAUUACAACAAAAACAUUGUUACAUACUUAAAUUGAUUUGUUCAUCUGAGAUUAAUUAAUUUUAGUGGUUUGUGUAUGUGUAAUUGUCACUAAAUUUCAACCAUAUAUUUAUAUAUUAGUAUAAUAUUUCGUAUAUAGGGUAGAUUCGAAUAGGAACCGUAUAUUUCUCUGGAAGGAACCUAGCUAGAAACAAAUGCAUCUUAUACAUGCAACAUUGCUUAUCUCUUUCUAUGAUGAGUGUAGAUCAUAUACAAGAACAAUGUCCAGAUUAGUUCCCUUGUUCACUAAAGAUGCAUUCAAUGGUGAAUUAGAAUUCCAACUUUCAAAUUAUCACAUCAAUUUUGAGAACUCAGUCAAUAUCUAUUUCGAUAAUAAACCAAUUUCUAAGUUUUUUAGGAGUACUAAAAAAAUAGAAAUGUGGCUGAAAAUUAUGUUGUAUUAGGCAUGAUCUACAAAAGGGUGGCUGGGAGCUAAUUACUAGUUGGGAACUAGUUUCUUAAUUUUAUUUUGAUAAUUACUCUCUCCGUCCUUAUAAAAUGUAUUCAAUUUGUUAUUUUCGUUCGUUUACAUAAAAUAUAUCUAGUUUAUUUUUGAUAAGUUUGCCAUUCAUGAUAAAGUGAUACCUAAAUUAUACUCAUAACAUAUUUAACUACUUUAUUAAAAUCCGUAUCCGUUAGGAAUGGAUACAUUUUAUCCAUUUUUGUUUGUUCACAUAAAAUGUAUUUAAUCUAUUUUAGAUAAGUUUUCUUCUCGUAAUAAAGUGAGAUUCUUGUUAUUUAGAAGUGGAUAGUAUAUUUUAUUAGAAUGCAGGGAGUAAUGGAUAUAAAAGGACUAGUCAUAUUUGGGCUCUUAAGUAAAAGGGAAGGGUGUGAUUUCCUAGUUUGCUAUUUACGACUACAGUUUGACAUAUUGGGCUUGCAAAUCGUUCAUUGAAUUAUGUUUGGACUUGCUUUAGUAGGAUUUUUGUGCUUCCAUAUGAUUUGGAGAUUGCUUCGAGUUCCACGAGUAACAGUAAAGUAAAUAAAAACUCUUUUCCGUUAAUAAAAAAUUUACGACAUUUCAUUAUUUUUGGACACAAAGAUUAAGAAAUGUAUAAUUAGUAGAUAAAAUGAAUUGGUGAAAAUUGUUUAAAUAUUAGAUAUAAAGAGAGAAUAUGUUGUCAAAAAAGAAAUAGGCAUCCCAUUAUGGAGUGAAUAGGACAUUUUAAUGGGACAGAGGGGAUAUUAUUUUAUGAAUAUUAUUUUUAUGAAUGAGAGUUGAAGAUAUUUUGAAAAAAAAAAUCAAAACAAAGAAAAGAAAAUUGAAGAGAGAGAAAUUUUGAUGGAAAAAAAAACGUUAGAACUCCUCUUUUAUAUAUUAUAUAGAUAUAUAUUUUAAUAAAAUGUGAAUUAAAUUGUUAGUAGAGUAAGAAUUUUAUUUUAAAUAUGAUUGAAAUUAUGUCAAUGUUAUUAUUAUGAAUGGAAGUGAUAAUGAAUCAAAAAAUUUGUUAUGGGCCUACUGCUGGGGAUAAUUGUUCUGGGCUGGAUCUGGCUUGAGUUCAUUGCUUGGGCCUAUUCCGGGCUUGUUUUGUUUGUAGUGGCUUGGUUAGUGUAUGGGCUAGUAUCAAGUGUUCUACGCAAGACUCACUAUUUCUAUGUGUAUUCUAUUGAUAAUCUCUCUUUUAUUUUUUUAUAGGCUCGUAUUUCAUACUCCAUCCGUCCCAUGAAUCUUGAGUCACUUUUUGUAGCACGAAAAUUAAGAAAUUAAAGAUUAAUGUCUUAAGUAUGUAGAUAGUAAAGUAAAAAAGUGAUUAGGUGAGUGUAUACGUAACAAAGUAGAAAAGUCCUGCAAUUUUUUGGGCCAAAAAUGGCUUCCAUAGAUCGCGGCGCAACAAUCCUAACGAUAGUGUUUAUGUUAACGGCGUCUGCAGCAGCAGAUUCCGCUUCCUAUCUGAGGGCGUCUUUCUACGACGUCCUGCAAUCCUGCCCAUGGGCCUUUUCCCCAAGGGCAUCUUCGAGUACUCUGACGACACCCUCUCCGGCGUCUUCUAUAAUCAGGGCCGGCCCUGCUGUGUUUCUGUGGGCAAUUGCCCUGGGCCCCCAAUUUUUGGGGCCCCCAUAAUAUUGGGCCAAUAGUGUUAAUACCCUAAUAAAAAAAAAAUUACUAAACCUAUUUUGUGCAGAUGUUGCGCAGCCCAACAAGUAGAAANAAAAAAUUUAUUUUACUAACAAACGGUAGGAAAAAAAUGGUCUUCUCGUUCUCUUCUCACUGCACUCUCUCUCACUCUCAACGCUCUCUCAUUCUCAACGCAGCGCUGCACUCUUUCUCUCGGCUCUUAAUUCUCUCCGACGUCGUCACUCUCCGUUGUCCGCUCUCGAUUCUCUCCGUCAGCUGCUGCUGCGCUGUUCACUGUUCAAUUCCAGUGAGGUAGAGGCGCGACUGCGACUGUGCGUGGCGUGGCUGCGUGGUUCCGGCGGCAGUGCUCGCCGGUGCUCCUGCGGGCGGCAGCGGUCGCCGAUACGAGUUCUGCUCGUCGAUUCUAAAAGUUCUAACUUCUACAGCUGAGAAGGGCAUAAUUUAAUCCUAGGUGUGUUGUAGUGGAUAUUGCUAUUUUAUCUUUAAAGACUAGAUUUGAACAAUUGACGAUUUUUGAAGAUAUUUUUAGCUUUUUGUUUCCUCAUAAGAUGUUAUCUUUAUGGGAUAGUGAUAAAUUGCAUAAGUGUUGUGGUAAGCUUCAAGAUGCCCUGAAACAUAAUGAUAAAUUUGACAUUGAUGCUGAAGAUUUAUAUUCUGAAUUGCAAGUGCUACAAAUGUGUUUACCAUCUGAAACAAAGUCGUUUGGUGAGGUUCUUGAAUUUGUUAAAGUUUCAGAUUGCUUUCCUAAUGUUUCUAUUGCAUAUAGAAUAUUGUUAACUAUACCAGUUACUGUAGCUUCAGCAGAAAGAAGUUUUUCAAAAUUAAAAUUGAUAAAAUCAUAUUUACGUUCUACUAUGUCUCAAGAAAGGUUGAAUGGAUUAGCGAUUUUGUGCAUUGAACAUGAGGUAUUAGAAAAGCUUGAUCUUGAAGAAAUUAUUGAUGAUUUUGCUUCUCAAAAUGCUAGAAGAUCUAAGUUAUUUUUGUAAUUAUUUCAUCAUUGUUUUCUAAUUUAUUGCCCUUUAUAGUUAAUAUUAUAGGGGCCCAUUUUUUCCUUUUCGCUCUGGGCCCCCGGAAUGUCAGGGCCGGCCCUGUCUAUAAUACCCCGUAUAUUUUUAUAAUAUUUCUAUUAGUAUAUAUAUAUAUACUAAUAGAAAUAUUAUAAAAUAAUACCCGUAUAUUUUUAUAAAAUAUACGGGGUAUAUAUAUAUACUAAUAGAAAUAUUAUAAAAAAUAUAUAUAUAUACCAAAUUCGAGACGCCGCUGAGAUACCAUACCAGUGCAAUAUUACGGGCAGGCUCAGCUACGGCCAGGUUUCCGAUCUGUCCGGCGUUGCUGCCCAGGAUCUCUUCCUGUGGCUGCCCGUGAAGAGCAUUCGCGUCGAUAUUCCCAGCUCCGGCCUCAUUUACUUCGACGUUGAUAUGGUGUUCAAGCAAUUCUCUCUGUCCUUCGAGACGCCCAAGGAAUGUAAUACCUUGCACGGGUAUGGUGAAAGCGAUGAUUUCGUGGUUCUCUUCGACAACGGAGGCGCUGCAAAUCGUGCUGUUGAGGUUUGUUGCAAUGUUUGUGAAUGAGCAUUUGGAAUUGGGGUAACUGGUCGCGGGAAUUGAGCUUUGUGAUUUAUGUUUAUGAUUUAGGGAUUUUCUGAGUUAGCUAUGUGCAUUUGCCUUGUCUGUUGUGAUGAUUUGGAUUGAAGGAUAAAUUGUUUAGGUUUGAUGCUAUUUGGUUCAUUUAUGGUGAGAUUUGGAUGAUAAACAUUUUUGCUAACGACAAUUUCAACUCGAGUUGCUUUCACUUGCAAGUUACAAAUUGGUGUUGGGUCAGAUACUUGGAGAUUAAGAUUUGCUGAAACAGCUUUAGGUUUAUGUUGUUUUGUCCUAUAUCUACUAGCUGAUUUGUGUGAUUUGUUCUUGACCAUCUUCACUCUGUGCAUUUGCGAAUCCUGUUGUAAUGUAGCAGGGCAAUAGAUUUGGAUCUACAUUUAAGUCUACAUUGAUGAAUUUUGAUGCAAUUUGCAUCUUCUCCCGCAUUAUUUGGAUAAUGUACAUGUUUGGAUUAGGGGUUGCUUUUUAUUUGCAACUGGAUUUGGUAUUGGAACGGCUUUAGGUUUAUGUUGUUCGUUCUUCGUACAUCUAUUAGCUGAUAUCUGCAAAUGUUUGUUGGGAAGGCUGGCUUGCAUCCAUAUGGUGUUAAUUAGCUGGUGGCAGUUUGAGGGUAUAACUCAUUGUAGCAAUGCAUUCGUAUGUUGUGUGAAUUUCUCGUGUUAUCUUUAGUAUUGCUUCGGUUGCCUCUAUCCGACUGUAAAUUUUGGGACUCUGGACUAGUUUGUGUUUGUUUUAGAAUCCAUGGAGCCUCCUAAGCUCAUUUCUAUCGCAUUGCAGGAUCUGCAUGGGAACCUUGAGACAGAACAAUUCAAAGACGAGGGACAAAGAGCUGUUUCUUGAAUUAAGAGGGAAAUGAUGAGUUGUUACUACUAUGCUUUGUGGUAUUGAUGGCUUCUUGUUCCUUCUUCUAAUUGCAGGCCUACAUAUUACAGGUUUGUUCGUUGUCGCUGAAACUCUUGACAAUGCAGGGCCAUGUUCCAUUUUACUGAGGGGUGAUGUUAUCUUGUUUUCUCAUCAAAGGCACAGGAUAAGUUGGUGAAGAUUGUAUGAGUUGUAAAGUCGUUGCGAAUUUUCGUUCCAUCGCCUCCUUCUGUGUCGAUGUAGGUAUGGUGUUCCUUAUAGUUUCUUGAAGUUGUUGUAUUCAAAUUGUUGAUCUUGUAUAUCAAAAUUGGUGAGGAUACAUCCAAACAGCAUUCUUUUUGUCAAUGUAUAUGGGGUUGUAUUUUUGCUUGUUUUGUUUGGAUUACUCAUAAUUCAUCUGUGGAAUUAUUGCACACUAGUGCUGUAUCCCGUGCGAUGCACGACAUGAUUAUCUUUUAGAAUUUCAUCGCCGAUAAUUAACAAAUUUUCAUCGCCGAUAAUUAACAAUGUACAAAUUCAUCGACCGAUUAAAGCCUUUGGUCAAUUUGAAUUUGGGAUAAACUCAAAGUAAUUAGAAGUUUAGAACACAUAAACGAUGUUAGAUAUAUUGCUUGAUGCUCUCUUCGUCCCAAAUUUUUACCCCUUUUGUCAUUUUAAUCCAUUCAAUACAUGAUGGAAGGUAUAUUGCAUAAUAAAAGUGAGAUCCUUAUUUAAUUCACAAUACAUUCAAAUGUGUAAUAUAAUAAUUAAUUUAUUUUUACGAAGACAAAUAAUUAUAAUUUGAAAUAUAAUAUCUUAGGCAACUAAGAAUAUUAUGGUUGCCCAUUAAAUAGCAAAUACUCUUUAUUUGACUGCAUCCUAACAUUCUUAGUUUUUUUAUUUUGUUAAAUAAAAUAUUUGAAGUCAUUCAAAUAUCUAAAUUAUACAUUGCACGCAAUUAAUAAUUUUGUCUUUUGAAAAAUAACUUGAGUUAAUUUUGUUUGAGUAUCAUGAAUUAUAAUUCUCCAUAAGAAAUCUAACAAAAAAAAUUACAUUAUCAAUUUAAUGCUCAACUAUAUUUAUGUUGACACCAUCCAAAAAUAAAAUAAAUAAAUAUGAGUGCAAAAAAUAAUGAUAUUAUAAUUUGUAUUACUACAAUUUUAGAUGCAUAAAUAUAUAUUUCAUAUCAAAAUUCAUGUUGCUAACUUGCUAGUCCAAAUCCUCAUAUUUACAUUAUUUAAAGGUUGGUCUUGCAUGCGGCCGGCCGCAUAGUAUGCGAUCGGUUACUUUUAUUAAGUAUAAGAUAUAAAUUUGUUCGCAUAAAUGUAUACUUAUGUAAUAGUACAAGUUCUCAUGAAUAAAAGUAACACUUAUCGUGAAUAAAUGUAAUAUUUUAGAAAUAUUACAUUUCAUUGUAACAAUAAUUAUUUUUUAUUACGACAAUGAUUAUUUGACCAAAUAGUUAAGAAUAUAAGUAUUAAUCAAUGAGUGAAAAUAACUAAAAGUAAAAGUUCUUAUGAAUAAAAGUAAACAUUAUUGUGAAUAAAUGUAAACUUUCAAAACCGACCGCAUGUUAUGCGGUCGGCCGCACGCAAGUUUUUGCGUUAUUUUAAAUAUUUAAUUGUUUAUAUUGAAUCAGUUUGACGUGACUUUUGGGGCAAAUUUUUAGAACAUAAUUAUUUUCUUAGAGCAUAGCAAACACGAAAAUGGAAGCCUCCGGCAAAAUCGAAGAAAUGUCCAUGUCCAUGGCCAGGUAUCGAGACACCGGCGGCAAGUCCUCUAAGGAGGCACAAGCACCGGCGCGUAUGUUGCUUUCGAUAGCUUGACCGUUCCUUUCCCUGCGGGGGAAAGAUCGGUUAAGCAAACCGAAACAACAUAUGCAUCAGUGUUUCGUGCCUUUUUAGAGGACUUGUCGAUGUCUCGAAUUCCUGACCAUGAACACUGACUGUAUCGCUUAAAAAGAUGGUAGAGGAACAAAAGGAGAUCCAUCCUUUCAUGUUAUAUUUAGGUAAUUCGAGCUCAGUCAAAAACUUUAUUUUGUUGGAUUAGAACUUUGAGCCCUUUAUUUUUAUCAUUUAAAUUAAUUUUGUUUGAUUUUUAUCUUAUAGAAAAAGGCGGGAUUGGAGUAAUCCCAUCGUUGAGGAUAAAAAUACCCAAUCAUCUAUUUUAUUAAUCGUGCAAAGUAAACGCCCCCUAAAAUUCAAUCUCACAUCUUUACAUCUUCAUCCGAUGACACAAUUUCAUUUUUGCUUAAUUAAUUAUUUGUACAUUUAGCAAGACAAAUUCUGUUUUUAGUAUUUAGUUUUUAAUGAUUUGUUUAAAGCAUUUAAAAGAUUGAGCCAUGUUUUAUCUUGCUAAAAAUAAAAAUAAUUAAAAAUAAGCAAAAUACAAAGUUAUAAGGAAAAAUCGUGUGUUUUUGCGAGGCAGCGUGGGAAUUGAAAAUAGAAGAUGAAUAGAAAAGAUUUGUGAUAAAUUAAUUAAUUUAUUAGUAAAAUAAAAAGAAAGUCAUAUAUGAUCCGGAUUAGAAGAAGGAAGAGAGAGAGAGAUUGAAAAUUAAUCACUCAAAUUAGUAUUUCCACAAUUCAAUUCCUCAUCACAUCAAACUACCAUUUGACUACUCGAAAGUUGGGAGUUGCCAAGCUCUGCAGUUCUUGGCUGACGUUGUUUGACUCAACUAGAACAUGAAAGGAUGGGUCCCCUUGUAAUUCCUCUUGUUCCUCGACCAUCCUUUUCAAUGACAUAGCCAUUGAUUCACUGCAAAUCUGCAAGUUAAUUGAUUUGAGGUUUGGUAUUUCUCCAAUUUCGGAAGGGAACUCGUCCAACGACUCCAUCCACAAGAGAUGAAGUUGCUCAAGGCGUGGCAAGCAGGAGCCCUCUAACGUCCAACAUUCCAUAUCCGCACACGCCCCCAAACUCAAGUAUUUGAGGCUGGGGAAUUGGCCUUCAACUAUUUCCCAUCUGCGUCUUGCAAACUGCCCCUUGAACAGUUUGAGCUUCUCAAGAAGUGGUAAUGAAGCUAUCUUUUCCAGAAUUUCCUCCAAAUGGAACUUUCCGCAAUUAAGAUACAGCUUCUUGAGUGAGUGCGGGAAGCUAAUACUCUGCAGAUACACAACACAUCCAUCUUCACUUGCAUCUUCAAUAAAGCACUUCAAGCUUUCGAGCUUACUCAGACAUUGAAGAUAGCUGAGGCACUUCACUCUCUCCAUUACUUUAUGCUUGUAUCUUAUAUACAGUUUCUUGAUAUUGGGAAUUCUCUUAACCACUUCUUCAUUCAAGUUGAAAUCAAUCACUCCUUUGAGCGUCUCUAGAUUCUCCAUCAUAACAUCAUUGUGGCCGCUCGGAGGAUCUGGGAGAUACAUUCCUUGAUAUCUGAACUUCGACAUGCUUAAGCUGAUGCAUUUUCCAAAUUUCUACUGGUGCAGUCGUAGGUUUGGAACCCCUCAAGAAACAAUUAGUGUGUGUAGAUUCCAGAGCAGACUAAUUGAAGAAGGGAUUUGGAACCCCUUACGAAAUUCAGCCGAAAGGUACCUCAAGUUCACCAUUUGAAACACAUUUUCUUCUGAAUACCCUUUGGAAUACUUAUCUGUAGUCAGUGUCCUCAAAAAUCUGAAAUCUAGCAAUUCUGGAACCGUAUCAGCAUGACAUAUGAAAGAACGAGCACGUGACAUAGUUUGCAAGGCAUCCCUGACUAUCUUAUCUGAAGUGCUUUUGGGAAUAACAAUGCGGCGUUGGCUAUUUAUCCCUCGAGGACAAUGUUGCCCUAACACAUAAUAAAACCUCUGCUUUUCAGCUUCUUGAAAUGAUAUAUCUCUCAGUAAAUCAUGCAUUUUACAGUACUUUAUAUUCCCAACUGCCCCCAACCUAUGAACUAGAAUGAGGUUUCGAUCGACUAGCUCCUUCAAAUACUCUUCGGCAACUGUUUCCAAGCUUUUAUUGAUUAUUGGUUUAAGAAAGCCUUCAGAAACCCAUAACCUCAUGAGUUCUGCAACCCUAAUUUCCUCAUCUUCCCCAAACAUCCCCAUGUACAAAAAACAAGGCUUCAGAUAGGCAGGCAAAUGGUCAUAGCUCAGUUUCAAUACUCUCAACCAUAUCAUCAUUUUCCGAAUUCACUAUUGAGCUUUAGUUUUCUCUAUGUGCUCCCUAAUACUCCAAGUGUAAGUUCGGACUUUGCCAAAGACCCCCAAUCACAGCAAUCGACAAAGGAAGUCCCUUACACUUCCCCACAAUUUCUUUCCGAUUUCCUCGAGAUGAAGAGGAAAACCCUCAUCCCCAAAUACAGUUUUGGAGAACAAAUUCCAGCUACAAACAUCAUCUAAAAAUCUCAUACCAAUGCUGUUAGAGUUUGUCAACUCAGUAGCCAAGUUUGAGAGCCUAGUCGUUACGAUUACUCGACUCCCAUCAUUGUAAUCGGGAAAGAAAAACCUCAUCUUGUACCACACCUCUACACUCCACAUAUCAUCCAAUAUUAUAAUAUACCUCCUACCGUAUAAAUACUUGUACAAUUUUUCUCCCAAUUCGUUCUCACUCAGAUCACUACCCAAAUUUCCAGUCACUUGGUGAAGAACUUGACUAAGUGUUUCUCUAACAUUAUAAGUUUGAGAAAUUGUAGUCCACGCACGAAUAUCAAAAUGCUCCUUAACAAGGGCAUGCUCAAAUAUAUGUCGGGCAAGAGUGGUCUUACCAAUCCCGCCCAUCCCUGUGAUUGGGAUGAUUUGGCGGUUACGGUUCCC
rnacentral:lncRNA from 1 species